rnacentral:rRNA from 1 species
GACGAACGCUGGCGGCGUGCUUAACACAUGCAAGUCGAACGGAAAGGCCCUGCUUUUGUGGGGUGCUCGAGUGGCGAACGGGUGAGUAACACGUGAGUAACCUGCCCUUGACUUUGGGAUAACUUCAGGAAACUGGGGCUAAUACCGGAUAGGAGCUCCUGCUGCAUGGUGGGGGUUGGAAAGUUUCGGCGGUUGGGGAUGGACUCGCGGCUUAUCAGCUUGUUGGUGGGGUAGUGGCUUACCAAGGCUUUGACGGGUAGCCGGCCUGAGAGGGUGACCGGCGACAUUGGGACUGAGAUACGGCCCAGACUCCUACGGGAGGCAGCAGUGGGGAAUAUGGCACAAUGGGCGGAAGCCUGAUGCAGCAACGCCGCGUGCGGGAUGACGGCCUGCGGGUUGUAAACCGCUUUCGCCUGUGACGAAGCGUGAGUGACGGUAAUGGGUAAAGAAGCGCCGGCUAACUACGUG